UGUUCUCUCUAAAACACCCCUAAGGAAAAAAAAGAAUAAGGUGGCUUCUAAAAUCUGAAAGUGCUCCUAUAAAGACUAUCAAUUAAUGUCCACGAUGUGUGAGAAGCCAGGGGCAAAACUCAGACAUGAUGAGAUAUGACUAGUCUCCAACCUACCUGGGUUUAAAAGCAAUAAAGGAUACUGAUUUGUUCCUUA